AUGCCAGGACCCCGCUCUCUAAACACUGCUCGCUCAGGAGCCCUAAGACGAAAUCUCGGGAGAUGUGGCGGACGCCGGCGAAGGGGGGAGAAUGGUUACCUGAGUCAGCUCUCCGGGAUUUCUGUAGUGCCUGACGGGAAGGGAAGGGAAGGGAAGGGAAGGGAAGGGAAGGGAAGGGAAGGGAAGGGAAGGGAAGGGAAGGGAAGGGAAGGGAAGGGAAGGGAAGGGAAGGGAAGGGAAGGGAAGGGAAGGGAAGGGAAGGGAAGGGAAGGGAAGGGAAGGGAAGGGAAGGGAAGGGAAGGGAAGGGAAGGUGUCACGGCGUUCCUGACCGGUUAUCUGUCCUUUUUCUCUCCCUCAGGCAUAUAUUGCCUCCGGUUUGUCUCACUUCGUCUCUCAGAACUUGGCUUGGCCUUCUGCGGGCCUGUGCACUCAGGUUGUCGUUCCGGCUUCCGUUCAGGCCGGGAGCAACCAUCUGCUCGGCACCAAAGGAUGGCCGGACUGAAAAGUGUGCUGCACCCCAGCUGCGGCUAGAUGUGGCCGGACGGAAAAGCGGGCUGCGCUGCCUCCGUGGAUGAGUCUGUUCGCGCAACUGAGUCCAAGAUGGAGCCGACCUUGUCCUCGUUCUGAGAGCUCCAGCCACUCAGAGAUUUGCAUUUUUCUCGUGGUCAUUUUUUUUAUUCUUUACCCUAUGACAGCUGCCUGUCUUCUGCCGCAUUUUGCGGUUCUCCACAGGAGACUGCCACUUCGUGAAGUGUGAAACAGCGUCCUGUGUGUACCACCCAGAUUGUCUUUUGACAUCAUUUGUUAACAGUUUUGGUGACUGACGGAUUCUUUUUUUUUUUUCCCCCAAAGAUUCUAAUUUAUCUAUUCAUGAGAGACACACAGAAAGAGGCAGAGACACAGGCAGAGGGAGAAGCAGGCUCCACGCAGGGAGCCCGAUGCUGGACUCGAUCCCGGGACUCUGGGGUCACGCCCUGGGCGGAAGGGGGCGCUAAGCCGCUGAGCCACCCGGGCUGCCCUGACUAAUGGAUUCUAAAGCUGAUUGCUCGGGCUGUGAGACAACUAGAGGCACAGGCGAGGCGCCUGCUGAAUCACCCGCAAGCGUCAAGGCUCCUCUUGUCCGUAUCUUCCCGGGGUUGUCGGUUAAGUCGUUGUCGGGUCUGGGCUCCACCCUUUUGUGCAGCUCUAUGAUCCAAGCAAACUAAUAUAUUAUUAUAUUAUAUUAUAUUAUAUUAUAUUAUAUUAUAUUAUAUUAUAUUAUAUCAUAUCAUAUCAUAUCAUAUAUAUUUUAUGAUUGUAGGUACACGUAUACAUAGUUCCCAGAAAGGUUCUGGGAUUUCAGAAAUGUUCUAGGAUUUAUUAAAAUUCCCAAAAAAAGCUUCUGCAUCCCAGAAAGAUUCAGGGGCUUAUUAAAAUUCCCAAAAAGGGGGAUCCCUGGGUGGCUCAGCCGUUUAGCGCCUGCCUUUGGCCCAGGGCGCGAUCUUGGAGGCCCAGGAUGGAGUCCCUGCGUCGGGCUCCCAGCAUGGAGCCUGCUUCUCCCUCCUCCUGUGUCUCUGCCUCUCUCUCUCUCUCUCUCUCUCUCUGUCUAUCAUAAAUAGAUAAAAAUAAAUAAAUCUUUUUUAAAAAUUCCCA
rnacentral:lncRNA from 12 species